ACAGGUUUGAUAAAUUUAGAUUUUAAAUUUGUGUAUGCACAGUUUCUUUAUGUGCCUAGUAUAGUUACGAUUUAUGAUACAGACAUGUAUAUACAGUAUUGGGGUAAAUCAAGCUUAUGUAAUGCUUGUUCUGUCAGGUAACUGUAGUUCAGUCAGUAACCAAUCUGAAAAUGACAUGCAAAGCAAAUACAUUUAAACUUUCUAGUGACGAGAGUUAUUGUUUUAAAAUAUCUGUUCUGCAGUCUCCUGCGUAUAUAUAAGAACUAUGGAAACAAUUACUGAUUUAUGUCGAAUGAGGAACUUGUUGAACUCACCAUCAACCGGAACCUGAACCCACCCAUCUUCAACCCCGUCACCUGUGAAGAGACCAUUCUCGAGACCAGGCCAAUUUGACACGUGGUUGUCAGAGUGACAGCUUCAGAUGCUGAUAACCUGGACAGCCGUGACGCAUCGAAAGGAUUCGGCAUACCUGUUUCCUGAAAAAGCUGGAGGCCUUACCAAUAUUCAAAGUGCCCACUCUCCAUGCAGCGUCCCUUGCAUCAAACACUUGACAUAAAAGUCGACUUAAGAGAAGCGGAUUGAAUUUGUACAUGACCUGGCUGAUCAUGUGACCUAGUUGAUCAUGUGGCCUGGCUGAACAUGUAGCCUGGCUGUUCACGUGACCUAGUUGAUCAUGUGGCCUUGGUGAUCAUGUGACCUAACUGAUCACAUGGCCUUGCUGAUUGUGUGACCUGACUCAUCAUGUGUCUGUCAAAGUGUGUAGUUGCUCAUGCCUUCAGUCACGUGUUUGUCUAGUCCAGAUUUGUUUGUUUAGAGGUCGCCACGAAAGAGAUGACAAUGACUAUGUACAAACUCAGAUCUAUUGUACAUUGGUCAUCACAAAAAUGAAUGAACAAAGUUGUAACAAAAUAAACAAUUGUAGUUA